GGCAGCAGUGGGGAAUAUUGCGCAAUGGGCGAAAGCCUGACGCAGCGACGCCGCGUGGGGGAUGACGGCUUCGGGUUGUAAACCUCUUUCAGCAGGGACGAAGCGAAAGUGACGGUACCUGCAGAAGAAGCACCGGCCAACUACGUGCCAGCAGCCGCGGUAAUACGUAGGGUGCAAGCGUUGCCGGAAUUAUUGGGCGUAAAGAGCUCGUAGGCGGUUUGUUGCGUCGGCUGUGAAAACCUGAGUCUCAACCUCAGGCCUGCAGUCGAUACGAGCAGACUAGAGUGUUGCAGGGGAGAUCGGAAUUCCUGGUGUAGCGGUGAAAUGCGCAGAUAUCAGGAGGAACACCGGUGGCGAAGGCGGGUCUCUGGGCAACAACUGGCGCUGAGGAGCGAAAGCGUGGGGAGCGAACAGGAUUAGAUACCCUGGUAGUCCACGCCGUAAACGUUGGGCGCUAGGUGUGGGGCUCAUUCCACGAGUUCCGUGCCGCAGCUAACGCAUUAAGCGCCCCGCCUGGGGAGUACGGCCGCAAGGCUAAAACUCAAAGACGGACCGCCGCCGCACCCAUCCAU
rnacentral:rRNA from 1 species